UACGUAGGGUGCAAGCGUUAUCCGGAAUUAUUGGGCGUAAAGAGCUCGUAGGCGGUCUGUCGCGUCUGCUGUGAAAACUGGGGGCUCAACCCCCAGCCUGCAGUGGGUACGGGCAGACUAGAGUGCGGUAGGGGAGAUUGGAACUCCUGGUGUAGCGGUGGAAUGCGCAGAUAUCAGGAGGAACACCGGUGGCGAAGGCGGGUCUCUGGGCCGUAACUGACGCUGAGGAGCGAAAGCGUGGGGAGCGAACAGG
rnacentral:rRNA from 1 species